GAAGAAGCACAAGGGUCCUGAGUAAACUGCUUGAAGAAGAUCUUCCUGUUUUGCGUCAUUCCUUGCCGACGAAGGUGGACGCGACAUUUUGGGUUGUUAAACAUUUAGUCACAUCUAAAUGUUGUAUAUCAGUUGAGUGUUGAAAGCAUAUGUGGAUCUGGCCUCAUGAUCCCACAUUGGCAGCUGAAGGAACAGUUGAAUAUUGUUGAAUGAAUAUACACAAAACAAUGGCUUCUUUAAAAACCCCGAGCUAUAACAUGGUCCUGAACUAUCAAGUACCUUGAUCUGGAUCUCCUUAAGGAAGACCAUAGUCAUGCACAAGAAGUAAGCUGCAUCUCUAGAGAAAUAUAAGCUUCAACAUUUUCUCUCCCGUAAUACUCAACACACUGAAAAAACAGCCACACACUAAGCAAAAUCUAGUGUCCACAUGGUCAUUCUGAGUAUACCCUGACUUCAUUGUUCUUUACAAAUAUCAUGAUGGAAUUAGUGCCUGUUUUUCCUUUGAAAAUCUAAAAUGUUUAAAAACUGCCCACCUGAAUUUCAAAUCCGAAUGUUCCAUUGUCCUGCUUUUCCACAGUAACAA